CCUACGGGAGGCAGCAGUGGGGAAUAUUGGGCAAUGGGCGCAAGCCUGACCCAGCAACGCCGCGUGAAGGAAGAAGGCUUUCGGGUUGUAAACUUCUUUUCUCAGGGACGAAGAAAGUGACGGUACCUUAGGAAUAAGCCACGGCUAACUACGUGCCAGCAGCCGCGGUAAUACGUAGGUGGCAAGCGUUAUCCGGAUUUAUUGGGUGUAAAGGGCGUGUAGGCGGGAGCGCAAGUCAGAUGUGAAAACUCAGGGCUAAACCCUGAGCCUGCAUUUGAAACUGUGUUUCUUGAGUGCUGGAGAGGCAAUCGGAAUUCCGUGGGUAGCGGUGAAAUGCGUAGAUAUACGGAGGAACACCAGUGGCGAAGGCGGAUUGCUGGACAGUAACUGACGCUGAGGCGCGAAAGCGUGGGGAGCAAACAGGAUUAGAUACCCGGGUAGUC
rnacentral:rRNA from 1 species